AGAAGCAUCCCAAGCCUCAGCCGGUCUGCAUCUCCAUCGGAAAGUGCGCUUGCCACAUCCCUUCGGAUCACUUCGUCCUCCCGAGAGCGUUCUGCCUUCUACAGCUCGGAAAGAAAGAAAUCUUAGCUGUGAAGUGACCGUGGAGAAAGCGCAGGAAGCGACACAAUUGGUUCGUGGCGGAGAGAUGCUGAUCGCGCUGAACUGACCGGUGCGGCCCGGGGGUGAGUGGCGAGUCUCCCUCUGAGUCCUCCCCAGCAGCGCGGCCGGCGCCGGCUCUUUGGGCGAACCCUCCAGUUCCUAGACUUUGAGAGGCGUCUCUCCCCCGCCCGACCGCCCAGAUGCAGUUUCGCCUUUUCUCCUUUGCCCUCAUCAUUCUGAACUGCAUGGAUUACAGCCACUGCCAAGGCAACCGAUGGAGACGCAGUAAGCGAGCUAGUUAUGUAUCAAAUCCCAUUUGCAAGGGUUGUUUGUCUUGUUCAAAGGACAAUGGGUGUAGCCGAUGUCAACAGAAGUUGUUCUUCUUCCUUCGAAGAGAAGGGAUGCGCCAGUAUGGAGAGUGCCUGCAUUC
rnacentral:lncRNA from 1 species